GUAACACGACCUCGAUGGGUCCCUACAAUACCAACACAUAGCCUGAAAUAUGAUUUCUAGCAUGAUUUGUACUUCAAAUCUAUAACACAUGGAGAAUUUAUGGAUAACAACAGAUUAUUCAACUAUACAGUUCCAUGAAAUUGAACGAGCAAAAAUUAUUGCAGUGCACGCCCACACGCCGGCCACGUAACAUGUGUGUCUCCUCAACACUAAUCACAAAACACAUAAUACAGGGUUUCAUACCCUCAUAACCAAAUUUAGAACUGUUACUUUUCUCAGACCGUAUAAAUCUCUACUCCAACACGCUCUUGCCUCGCGUAUCAGCCUCCAAAUGCCUCGAAUCUAGCCACAAACAAUUCGAUACAAUCAGCAUGGGAUAAAGGAACUAAUUCCAUAAGAAAAUACCAAGCUCUAAAUCAAAAGUCAAAAAGUCAACUCAUAAGUCGGUCUCAAAUCCCACAUCUCGAAAUUCGAUAAAAGUCAUGAAAUCCGAAAGCCCAUUCAAUCACGAGUCCAAUCAUACCAAAUUAACCAAAAUUCGACACCAAAUCGUCACUCAAAUCCCCAAUUUAAACUCUUCAAAUCCCUUGCCUCAACCCCCAAAAUUACACCUCAAAGACACACCAACUAGGUGGUAAAUUCAAUGGGGAAACAAGAUUAUCGAAUAAAAACGAGCACAAAUAACUCAGCCAAGGAAACCCCUCAAAAAUUGCCCAAUCCUGGGCUUCAAAUGUUUAAAAUGGUGAAAAUAUCGGAACCCUCGUCUUUAAGUUAUCUACCCAGGCUUUCCGCACCUUCGCUCCAAAAAUCCGCUUCUGCGACUCCAAUUCAACUUGCCCCUUUCUACUUCUGCGGAAGACCCUAAGCAAAUGCGCCUUUGCAUCAGCGAAAACAUUUGCGCUCCUAUGACCACUUUCCAAUCCCUUAUAGGUUGCAUUUGUGCUAGCCACCCUACACCUGCGAGUUCCCACCUGCGAACAAUGUUCUGCAUGUGCGAUUUCACCAGAAGGCUUCAGCUACGGCAGUUUUUCAAACUCAAAUUUGAUCUGAAAAUCAUUUGAACUCCACCAGAGGCCCCCGAGACCUAAACCGAACAUACCAUCAAGUCCUAAAAUACGAUACAAACUUAGUUGAGCCUUCAAAUCACAUCAAACAAUAAAAAAACAUGAAUCCCACCCCAAUUGAAGCCUAAUGAAUCUAAGGAAAUCCAGCUUUUACAAACGACAUCCAAACAUAUAAAAACCACGUAAGAUUGAUCCCAAAUUUUGCACACAACUCACAAAUGAUACCAUGGACCUACUCCAACUCCCGAAACUCCAAACCGACCCUGGUAACCACAAAGUCCACUCUCUGUUAAACUUUCAAAUUCCCAACUUUCAUGAUUUCAAGCCUAAUUCAACUAUGGACUUCCAAAUACAAAUUCUUACACACACCUAAGUCCAAAAUCACCAAAGGAGGUAAUGGAACCAUCAAAACUCCAUUCCGGAGUUGUUUACACAUAAGUCAAGGUCAACCAUUACAAUUAAGCUUUUAACCUUGAGACUAAGAGUCUUGACUAAUUUUGAAACCUCUCCAAACUUGAAC
rnacentral:lncRNA from 1 species